UUAAUUUGGGCGCUCAAGCAAACCCCCAUGAAAUUAAAUCAAGAGACAAGGUUUUGAAGCUCUCUUCCUCUCCGUUUGUUACUCCAAUAGAGAAUCAUACACAAAGAAGUAGCGAAAGAGAACAAGUUGACCAGGCCAAAGCUUUAGAUUGACUAGGGACGCAAUAAAUAAAAGAGUUAAGAGGGAGGUGAAGGAAGGUGAAAAAAA
rnacentral:misc_RNA from 1 species